rnacentral:rRNA from 1 species
AAUAGAUACCCCGGUAGUCCACGCCGUAAACGAUGAGUGCUAAGUGUUAGAGGGUUUCCGCCCUUUAGUGCUGCAGCUAACGCAUUAAGCACUCCGCCUGGGGAGUACGGCCGCAAGGCUGAAACUCAAAGGAAUUGACGGGGGCCCACACAAGCGGUGGAGCAUGUGGUUUAAUUCGAAGCAACGCGAAGAACCUUACCAGGUCUUGACAUCCUCUGCCAACCCUAGAGAUAGGGCGUUCCCCUUCGGGGGACAGAGUGACAGGUGGUGCAUGGUUGUCGUCAGCUCGUGUCGUGAGAUGUUGGGUUAAGUCCCGCAACGAGCGCAACCCUUGAUCUUAGUUGCCAGCAUUCAGUUGGGCACUCUAAGGUGACUGCCGGUGACAAACCGGAGGAAGGUGGGGAUGACGUCAAAUCAUCAUGCCCCUUAUGACCUGGGCUACACACGUGCUACAAUGGAUGGUACAAAGAGCUGCGAACCCGCGAGGGUAAGCCAAUCUCAUAAAGCCAUUCUCAGUUCGGAUUGUAGG